UACGGGGGGAGCAAGCGUUGUUCGGAAUUACUGGGCGUAAAGGGCGCGUAGGCGGUGCCUCAAGUCAGGCGUGAAAGCCCCGGGCUCAACCUGGGAAUUGCAUUCGAGACUGAAUAGCUAGGGUGCGGUAGAGGGAAGCGGAAUUUCCGGUGUAGCGGUGAAAUGCGUAGAUAUCGGAAGGAACAUCAGUGGCGAAAGCGGCUUCCUGGACCAGUACCGACGUCAGGCACGAAAGCGUGGGGAGCAAACAGG
rnacentral:rRNA from 1 species